GUAGGUGAACCUGCGGAAGGAUCAUUACAGAGUUCAUGCCCUUCAGGGUAGAUCUCCCACCCUUGUGUAUCAUUAUCAAAUGUUGCUUUGGCGGGCCGCAAGCCUGGCUUGCCUGGAUUCGCGUCCGGCGUGCCCGCCAGAGGAUAUCAAACUCUGAAUAUUAGUGUCGUCUGAGUACUAUUAAAUAGUUAAAACUUUCAACAACGGAUCUCUUGGUUCUG
rnacentral:misc_RNA from 1 species